GUUUCCGUUUGGUGAACCUGCGGAGGGAUCAUUACACAAAUAUGAAGGCGGGCUGGAACCUCUCGGGGUUACAACCUUGCUGAAUUAUUCACCCUUGUCUUUUGCGUACUUCUUGUUUCCUUGGUGGGUUCGCCCACCACUAGGACAAACAUAAACCUUUUGUAAUUGCAAUCAGCGUCAGUAACAAAUUAAUAAUUACAACUUUCAACAACGGAUCUCUUGGUUCUGGCAUCGAUGAAGAACGCAGCGAAAUGCGAUAAGUAGUGUGAAUUGCAGAAUUCAGUGAAUCAUCGAAUCUUUGAACGCACAUUGCGCCCUUUGGUAUUCCAAAGGGCAUGCCUGUUCGAGCGUCAUUUGUACCCUCAAGCUUUGCUUGGUGUUGGGCGUCUUGUCUCUAGCUUUGCUGGAGACUCGCCUUAAAGUAAUUGGCAGCCGGCCUACUGGUUUCGGAGCGCAGCACAAGUCGCACUCUCUAUCAGCAAAGGUCUAGCAUCCAUUAAGCCUUUUUUUCAACUUUGACCUCGAUUAAAGGUAGGAAGCGAAAUUGGGGAGGAAAAU
rnacentral:rRNA from 1 species